GCAGGCCUCGUGCGCGACGCGCGUUGCGUCACGCCCGCUUUGCUCCAGCGUUCAGCUGCUUCCUGGGCAGUCCAAGAUGGCGGCGCGCUGGAGUAGCGAGAAUGUUGUGGUGGAGUUUCGGGACUCGCAGGCAACUGCAAUGUCCGUGGACUGUCUUGGGCAGCAUGCAGUGCUUUCUGGGCGCCGCUUCCUCUACAUUGUUAACUUAGAUGCACCUUCUGACGGCCACCGCAAGAUCUCGCGCCAGAGCAAGUGGGACAUAGGAGCUGUGCAGUGGAACCCACAUGACAGUCACUCACACUACUUUGCUGCUUCGAGCAACCAACGAGUUGACCUGUAUAAAUGGAAAGAUGAUAAAGGGGAAGUUGGCACUUCCUUGCAAGGGCACACACGUGUGAUCAGUGAUUUGGACUGGGCAGUAUUUGAGCCGGACCUGCUGGUUACCAGUUCGGUUGACACAUACAUCUACAUCUGGGAUAUCAAGGACACCCGGAAGCCUACUGUCUCACUUUCUGCCGUUGCUGGUGCCUCCCAGGUAAAAUGGAAUAAGAAGAAUGCCCACUGCUUGGCAACCAGCCAUGACGGGGAUGUGCGCAUUUGGGACAGGCGGAAACCCGGCACUGCGGUGGAGUACUUGGCUGCUCAUCUCUCUAAAAUCCAUGGCCUGGACUGGCACCCAGACAAUGAGAACAUAUUGGCUACAUCCAGCCAGGACAACUCUGUCAGGUUUUGGGAUUAUCGACAACCCCGAAAAUACCUCAACAUCCUGGGAUGUCAGGUUCCUGUCUGGAAAGCCAGAUACACGCCUUUCAGCAAUGGACUGGUGACAGUGAUGGUGCCCCAGCUGCGGAGAGAGAACAGCCUCCUCCUCUGGAAUGUCUUUGACCUGAACACGCCAGUCCACACCUUUGUCGGGCACGAUGAUGUUGUGCUAGAAUUCCAGUGGCGGAAGCAGAAGGAAGGAUCCAAGGACUACCAGCUGGUCACCUGGUCUCGAGAUCAGACACUUCGGCUGUGGCGAGUUGAUUGCCAGCUGCAACGGCUGUGCUCCAAUGACCUCCUGGAUGGGGUGGAGGAGCUCAUCGAUGGGAUUUCUCUCCUGCCAGAGCCAGACAAGGCCCUGCCUUCCCAAGACACUGAGCCCCAGCAAAAUGCCAACCAUGGAGAAGAGGAAGCCUUGAAAGAAGACUCCCAGAAAAGUCUCCUGGUGGGGAAAAAGCUGGACCAGCUGGGGCUGCCUCAAACCUUGCAGCAGGAAUUCUCUCUGAUCAAUGUGCAGAUCCGAAACGUCAACAUGGAGAUGGAUGCCGUAAAUCGUAGCUGCACCGUCUCUGUGCACUGCAGCAACCACAGGGUCAAGAUGCUGGUGAUGUUCCCUGCUCAGUAUCCCAACAAUGCUGCCCCCUCCUUCCAGUUUGUCAAUCAGACCACCAUCCCCUCCACCAUGAAGGCCAAGCUGCUGAAGAUCCUGAAGGACACUUCCAUGCAGAAAGUGAAACGGAAUCAGUGCUGCCUGGAGCCCUGUCUGCGCCAGUUGGUCUCCUGUCUGGAAUCUGUUGUGAACCAGGAGGACAGCUCCUCCAGCAACCCCUAUGCGCUCCCAAACUCCGUCACACCGCCCUUGCCAACAUUCCCCAGGGUCUCGAAUGCUUACGGCUCCUAUCAGGAUUCCAACAUCCCAUUUCCACGCACCUCUGGAGCCAGGUUUUGUGGGGCAGGGUACUUGGUGUACUUCACACGACCCAUGACGAUGCACCGCACAGUCUCCCCUACAGAACCAACCCCCCGAUCCCUGUCGGCCCUCUCAGCCUACCAUAGUGGCCUCAUCACUCCCAUGAAGAUCCGUACAGAGACCCCUGGCAACCUGCGCUUGUAUGGUGGGAGCCCUACACGCAACGAAAAGGAGCAGGUCUCCAUCAGUUCCUUCUACUAUAAGGAGAGGGUAAGUGUAUGGUCUGUGGAGCUUCCUCACUGCCUCAUUUUCAGCCAUUUAUGCUUGUUGGAGAUCAUUGCCCUUAACAGCACUCUUGCAGGGUGGAGGGCAGGAUUUGCCUGUCCUGUAACAGAAGCCCAAGGGGACACCUUGGAUGAGCUGUGCUGCUGGCUCUCUUUGGGAUGCUCUUGAUUUUAGAUGAUGCUUCCUUCGCUAGCAUUAUGCCUUCACUUACUGGAAAAGACCAGCUAUCUGCAAUUAGGGACUUGUCCAGCUGCUAGGUUUUUUAUGCAUCUGAGUGGUCCUUGGGUGGACCAUGCAAGAAUUCUAUAGGGGUGCCUGACAGCUCUGUGGAUUGCUGUGUGCAAGCAAUCUGGACUGACUGUGUGGCACAAGAGGGCAGGCUUUUUACACUUGGGUCACACUGGGGUCCAUCAGGGAGCAUGGAAAUCUGCCAACCCCCUGGGUUGCAAAGGCUAUGACAUUGCCUCCUGCUCCCCGCUUACUUGAGAGCUGGGCUUGUUGACUGGCUCAUGCUAAGCACCUCCACUUGCCAGAGAUACUGGUUGGCUGUCCCAGGGCAGACUUACCACAUCCAGUUCCUGUCCACUUUGGAAGAGCUUGAAUGGCCCUUAUUUAAUGAAACCCCAUAGGACACAGCUGUGACUACCUUCUUGGGAGAGCAGAGUUCCCCACGCCAUCAUAUACGGUGGCCUAAAAUGACGAUUUUGAGAGUGAGCCAAAAAAUACUUAGCUGUUGCACUUAGAAUUGGGGCUUGGGGCUCUUUGAGCUGGUCACACUAGGCUCAACUUCCCCAGUGCUAUCAGCAGCUAGCAGCUUCACAAAACCUGAUGCAGCAGAAAGAGACCCUCUCCCCAGCAUGGCAUGUGCCACUUUGAGCCAGCCAGGUUCCCCGAAGGCUGAGUUUGCAGGGGUCUCAGUUUGGAAGGAGUCUUUUAGCUCUUGAAGCUGUAUCUAGUCCUGCCUAUUUUGGGGCCUUUUGGGGAUUGAAAUGCACAGGGACUGGGAAGCCCAACUGACAGGGUGGUUUUAUAGUGUUGAAAUAAAACAGAGUUGCACAGGGCUUUUCCCUGUGGCAAAUUCUUGUGCUCUUGGGUCAGUAAUUGAGUAUUUAAUCUGAAUCAUGAGAAGCAUAUUGUAGGGAAGCAGUGUGUGAAAUGCCAGCACCCCAGAAGCUAUCCAUGCUGCCUGGAUAGGUGGAGGGAUUGGCACAGGCUGAGGGCUCUUCACACCCAGAUGCUGAACAUUUGCUGUGCACUGAUGGGGGUCAUCUGAGCUCCCUUUCUUAGCAGCUAAUUAUUUUCUCGUGUGGGUUAAAUUAGCCACAGGAGAAAAGAGAUAAGGAAAGGGAAACAACCACCUGAGUGUUGUAGCCAGCAGGACCUUCCUGCCUGUGUAUUUGACUGCUCUGUGUCUCAUAGGACGCAGAAGACUCAAGGCCUCUGACCUCAGUGUCACUGUCAGCAGCGCUAGUUGCAUGAGACACUUCCUUUUCCGCAGUGAGAGAGGAUCAGGGGUGGGGAACCUGUGCCCCUCCAACUGUGGUUGGACUUCUGCUCCCAUCUCCCUUGACCAUUAGCCAUGCUGGCCUGGACUGAUGGGAGAAUUGGGAGUCCAGUAACAUCUGGAGGGCCACAGGUUUGCCUAUCCCUGGAAUAGAGGAUUGAUAUAAGGACCAGCUAGGAUUCAUAUGACAUCUUGGGGAAACUUGCUUCUGUUGUGCUUUUUUGUGGGAAGUGGUCAUGAGUAUGUUUCGUAUGUAGAGGGCCACAAGUUCAGCCCCUGCAAUGGCAGAUUGCAGGCUUUUGUCUGCAACUUGGGAGAGGUGCUGGGUCUCAGAGUAGAUAGCACUGUGUCACUCCUCUAGAGGGCCGACUUUUCCAUCUUUCCUGGGCUGAAUCAGAAUAUGGAGGCCCUUGGCUGCCCUGGAAUGGCACAUCUCUGACUGGUCCACAGCUGGCCUCUGCCCUUGGUGCUGCACGGGGUCCCUUGGCUCAUGAGUUUCUCAGCUCUGUGUUCUUUUCUUCCUCUUCUUCUCUCAACGGCUCACCUUCUUCCCUCCUUCCCAUCCUGGGCAUAACAUUCUCAUGCACAGAUGUCGCCUUGCUCUGCCAGACGGCGUUGGUCCAUACAAGCAAUUAACGACUUCCCGGUACUGUUUGCUGUGUUACUCCUGCCCUUGACUGUCUGCUCCCCAUGGGCCCAAGAAUAACCUGCCACCUGCCUGGCUUUGCGUAACCCAGACUGUAGCUGGGGAGACAACUGACUUGGGUGGGUGGAGGAAUCAGGGAGCAGUGGGGGGGGGGCAUCCUGUGCUUAUGUGAGGUGGUACUUCAGAGUUGGUUGUGUUUUCUAGGACAACCAGGAUGAUUAUAUAUCUUUAAUGCUUGGUGCUAAUUGGAGCAAGAUAAUACUCUGCCUUGGUCAGACCCCACCUGGAGUCCCGUAACCAAUUCUGGCCACCACAGUUUAAGAAGGAUAUUGACAAGUUGGAGUUUGUGUAGAGGAGGAUGAGCAAGUUGAUAAAGGGCCUGGAAACCAGGCCUUAUGAGGAGUGGUUGAGGGAGUUAUGGAUAUUUAGCCUGAAGAAGAGAAGAUUGAGAGGUGAUAUUAUAGCCAUCUUCAAAUAUCUGAAGGGCUGUCAGAUGGAGAAUGGAGUAAGCUUGUUUUCUGCUGCUUCAGACCUGAACCAGUGGAUUCAAAUUUCAAGAAAGUAGAUUCUGUCUCAACAUAAAGAAGAACUUUCUGAGAGUAAGAGCUAUUUGACAGUGGAAUGGAUUACCUCAGAAGGUCGUGAACUGUCCUUCAUUGGAAGUUUUUUAACAAAUGGAUGGCCAUCUCUCAGGGAUCCUAUCUCAACGGAUAGGAAGUGCCUACAGAGGGUGGUGAAUACAGCACAAGUUAUUAUUGCCAGUCCCAUGAAUCUGCUGGAUAACAUCGCGGAAGACUGUUGCCUCAGGAGAGUGAGGAAAAUUCUUAGGGAUGAUUCAUACCCUGGCUGGCACUUUUUUGAUCUCCUGCCCUCGGGCAGAAGAUAAAGAACAGGCAUUCCCAAACUUCGGCCCUCCAGAUGUUUUGGACUACAAUUCCCAUCUUCCCUGACCACUGGUCCUGUUAGCUAGGGAUCAUGGGAGUUGUAGGCCAAAACAUCUGGAGGGCCGCAGUUUGGGGAUGCCUGAUAUAGAAGCAUGAUUAGUCGCACCAACAGGGUAAAGAACAGCUUCCAUCCGUGGGCUCUUAGGCUGCUGAAUGAAAAGAUAACAACAGGGCAACUGACUUUCGGGUUUGGUGGGUGUGAGUAUUUUAAUGUUUGCUGGAAGCCGCCCAGAGUGGCAGGGGAAGCCCAGCCAGAUGGGUGGGGUAUAAAUAAAUUAUUAUUAUUAUUAUUAUUAUUAUUAUUAUUAUUAUUAACGAGGGGAAUUAAGACUAAGAGAGCUGAGUGGGGGUGCUCGUGUAAUCUCACUGUAUACAAGUUGUACAAGUGACAAUAAAGUAUUUCAAUUUCAAUUCAAUUCUUUAGUUGUGAUUCCUGCAUUGGAUGGAGUAGCCGAUGAAUAGGCUCUCUGACAGGGAUGAUGGGUGGGGAGCUUCCUUUUUCCUAUGCAGUAUGUGGUCUAGGCUGUAAAACAAGCUUCUUAAGAAUAUUGGCCUGGCAAGUCCAGAGCUGAGCUAAUGGGGUGUUUAAUAGGCCAAGCAAUGAACUGGAGCAAUCCCCUGGUUCAGAUCUUGUUUGUGCCAUGAACUCACUAGGAAAGCCUUAGGCGAGAGCGUGGCCGGCCUCUGGUCCACAAGACAAGGAUAAAAACAGUACUGACCUACCUUUCGGGGUGGUUCCAAAAUUAUCAUAUGCUUGCAUACGUGAAGCCCUUUGAACCCGUGACAGCAGUAAUAGGAAUGCCAGUUGUUCUGCUCACUCUUCAUUGCUUUGAUAAUAGGUUUGUGAAAGAUGCAUGGGAAAUGCCAUGUGCAAUCCGGAAGCGUGCAAUCCGGAAGCGUGCAAUCCAUGUGGAAUGCAAUCCAUGCGGCUGUUCAGAUCUUUGGUCCUCUGAGGAUGGGGCUUGGGUGCCCUCUAGAUCCUUGCCCCUCCUUGGGAUAGCAAAUUCUGCAAAAUAGGUGAGCUUCCCUAAUUUACAUAAUUUCUACAGAGCAUUUCAUUCAGCUUGCCUGUGCCUGAAAAAUGCUUUCCCUCUGUGUAACCAUGGUUGGGGUGAAGAGCUGUAGGGUAAGUAAGUCUGAGGAGGGGGUGUUCUUUCCUGAACCCCCACCCCACUAUGAAGUCCUUCAUCCAAGCCACCAUUGCCAUCACGUGUGAGGAAUGGGUCUUCCUUUGGGAAAGAAAGCAACUAAGCCUCUUGCAGUAGUAUCAGUGCUGGAAGAAGUGGAACAAUGUAAUGCUGGAGCUGUGACAUUGAAGAAGGAGAUGGAAUUGAGGACUCUUGUGUACAAUUUGGAAUCAUCUGAGAGGGGAAAGUGACAAUGCCUCCUGCAAUACUUUCGAAAAAGGAUGGAAAUACAGGAAGUGGGGAAAUCAAGUUUUUCUAAAUGACAAAGAUGGAAGCCCAUGGCCACAGGAAAUGGAAUUGGAAGAUACAUCUUUUGGGGCUGUGAAUUAAUGUCUACAUAAUUUGUUGGAAAUUCCUGAUAAUACACACAAGUGUAGCAUAAGGCUGAGUCAGCAAUUAGACGCGCCAGUAGGCCCAUCAAGUCAAAGCAAGUAUUUUGCCUUCCCAAGUCUCUGCUGCUAGUGCCAUCCUUACCAGUACUUUAAGCAAGGUGGCAGCAGCCGAGUUGCAACCAACAUUGGGGGGGUGACAUCCUGCCAGGCCUCCUCUGGCCUCUCAAGAUUGGGGGGGAGGGGUUGAGUUCCAUCCCAGCAGACAUUGGGGGGGGGAGCUGUAGAGGCCUCAGCCCCAUAGAGUUGGCUAGCCUGGGCAGCAAGGACAUUGAGGGACAUAAUUUUUAAUCAUUUAUGAAUAUUGUCUUAUUAUAUAAACACAGUGAAAAAACUAAUGAGGAAUAAAGAAUAAGGACUGAAUGUCUUUUUAAAGUCUGGAGGUAAAGUUGUGAGGUUGGACUGGAGGGAGAUUAAGUCUUGCUUAUAGUAACUGGCCAAACUUUGGAAUUCUUUCGAAUUCCAAAUUUUGGAAUUCUUGGAUGGGAAGGAAAAUGAAUGAACCUGCGGUGCCUAGGUUUAAUAUCAGGAAAACAGCUAGCAGAGGAAGGAAUAACUGGACAUUACACUGGAUUGAACACUGGAUUAUUAUGAGGAAUUUUUGUUGACACAACUGAAAGAUGGAUAGUUGGAAGUCACUUUUACACACACUCACUCACUCUGUUAUUAUUAUCUCUCUUGUCAGCUUCUUUCUUUCUUCUUUCUUGUUUUGUUUCUGUUUUUAUCGUAUGCUGAAAAGUCUUAAUAAAAUUAUAUUUUUUAAAAAGGAAUGGAUCCCCCUACUAGUCUCUCCUUCCACAUCAGGCUUUGGUGGUGGUAGCAGAGAGCUGGCAGGAGGAGAGUCUUUUCUUGCCCAGGGCCAGUUCUGCUGAGACUGUCUUGUGCUCUGGCUGAUGGUGGUAGAGAUAAGCACCUGCAGGCGCAACCUUUUGAUAUCAGCCCCGGGGUGGGGGGGCGUUAAGGGAAGUAGUGUGGUAUCCCACCCCCUUCCCCAAUCACACAUUGCAUGCAUCCAGAGCACAUUCAUAGUACAAGGUUAGCAUGAUUCAAUAUCUUCAUCUGCAUCAGUGAUGGGGAGCCUUUGGCCCUCUAGAUGUUGUUGCACUCCAGUUCCCAUCAGCCCCAGCCAGCAUGGUCAGUGGUUGGGAAUGGUGGAAAUUGUAGUUCAGCAACUUAGGUCCAUAGAUUCCCUGGCCCUGACCUAUGUGUCUGAAACUUGAGAUGCAGCCUGAGAUACCUGAUGUGGUAUUGUCUUUUUCACCACUUAAUUAUUGCUGAAUGUGUGUACUAGGUAGCUCCAGGUUCCAGCUCUGCCAUGGAGCAAAAUGUGCACCAGGUGGCAAUUUGUGCACCUUAUUUUUAAGAAGUGAUGAGAACUCCUAAUCAGUGAUGCUGCUAAGGUAUUUGCAUGGCAGUGGUGGAGUCAUGAAGCUCCAUUGCAUUGUGCUGAGGGAGAAGAAAACAAAAAAAAUUUGUGCGCACACACAGCUUCUAAGCAGCAGAUCAGGGCAAAUGGUAUCUGUAUUCCUAGCAGCCAAAAUGCAUAACCAACCAGCCAUCCUGAUUGAUGGCUGUGUCUCGUGUCUCUUGUUUGCUGACUGUAGGUGAUCAGGGCUUGGCUUUGGAUACUGGAACGGAGAAAGCAGAGUAUUGUGGGACCUCAGUCGCUUAACUGACUCUGCCCUCCCUUCGCAGACCAGUUUGAUUUAGGGGUGAGCUAACAUUAUUUGACAUAACAUGGGUGCAGUGCAGAUUCUUAGUGAAAAGUUUCUUUUGAAUUCCUGCCACCUUGACAUAUCAGCUGAGGCUUCAUCCAUCUAAUAUGCUGCUAAAGGGAAGUGUACACAAGUCACCAGAGGGUGGAAGGAUUUCAUAGCCCCACCCCCUGCUGAUUGUGCAAAUAUCCCAGUGGUUGCUACAAAGUGGUCGGUGGCUUAUUCUUGGGCUUGCUUCAUGUCUAUAUAUCCAUAACCAGUUGCCAUGGCCCCUCUCUCCCUUCCCAUGUGCUGGUGCAGACCAUCAACUAGUUGUGAGCUCGUUGAGUGCAGUUGCCGCUUCCUUCCCCAUCCUAUGACAUCCCUCUUCCUGAUGCUUAAAAGUUGAGGAGGUUGCUUGGCCUGUUCAUUCCCUCUGUGGCUCUUUUGUUCUGUCAAGUCACUGAGUGUGUAUCUGGGCCAAGCCUUGGCCAAGCCCCAGUGCCCUCCAGGUGUUUUGAACUGCAAUUCCCAUCAGUAUGUGUUGGUCAGGGCUGAAGGAAGUUGCAGUCCAAAACACCUGGAGGGCUUGGCAAAUGCUGAUCUGGAUUCCAUUUGAUUGCAUUGCAGUUCAUAAUGAAAUUGUCCUUUUUAUGUACACGACUUAAGAAACUUGUACGUAGGUGUAAGCAGCCUGUCUUUAGGCCUCAGGGCAGCUGGCCACAGCAUAGUAGCCUCCAAGCAAUGUUGAAAAUGGUGUGUGGGAUUAUGAAGAUGAAUCCUUCAUAAUAUGAUCUGUAAUCAGCAUACCUGGAACAGCAACAAAGCCUUCUUAGCUGUUGAAUGUUUGAACCAUCACAAAAUCAGGAAGGACCAUGUUAUGGUAGGAUCUCAAAGGAUCUCCUGGUUUUGGUGCAAGGUAGCCUAGCUGACCCCAAUCUAAUCCUCCUUACAUUUUGAGAAAUUGAGUCCAGCAGUAGCUUGAAGGGGAUGAUUUUGAGUGGGAAAGUGGUACAGGGAAAUCCCCUCCCCUUCCCCCCCCCCCCCGGUGGUGAUGAUCCAGACCAGGACACUUGCAGCUGUUGUAGUUAGUCAUUAGCAUGUUGUUCAAGAAAGUUCUGAAACUCACAUCUAGUUUGACCCUCAUAUUAAGCAUACAUUUUUCCUAUCCCUUAUGUCUGUGGAGAAAUCGUGCCCUGUGGAAUCUCUGACACCCAAGUACAAGAGAAGGGGACAGGCAGACUUCAGAAUAAAAUGACUGAAAACAACCAGUCUUUAUGUGUGAAAUUUGCCUAGUUUGGAAUAAGUUGCAGAGAACCCUGCUUUUCUUUCUCUCUAGCGUAGAGUACACACAGGCCUUUGUGUUUGCCUCUGCCUGAGCAAAGUGGCCUGGGGGACUCCCUGUUCAGCAUGAUCUCCAAGUCUCUCAUUCCCAGUUUGUGCUAAUCCUCAAUUUUUGUCUCCAAAGUGUAUGUGUGGAAUUGCAGGCUGUAUAGUCUGCAUGAGAAAGGACUUCUUGUGGGUGAUUAAAAAUCUCUCCUUGCUCCCCACGAGGCCCCAGUAUGACUUUGCAUGACUUUCCCCCUCUGAGAUCAUAGAGCCCCCUGGACCUCUGGCUGCUCAGGGUGGGAAGCUUUCUUUGCAGAUGUGUUGCUGUGCCAGUGCAGAGUUUGUCUCUUGAGUGUUCACUUUCUCAGGGUCAUGGUCUCUUCUUCAGGCUUCAAAUCCCAGAUGUUCUUCUAACUCACUUCUGAUCAGAUAUUGAGUGCUUUUUAAAUAGCUGGCGAGAGGUGCAUGAACCAUAACUGGCUUUGUGCAUUACUCUGUGCACCUACCCACCUCCCUUCCUACACAUUUCCCCCAUUAUUUUCUGCUCUGACAAACAGCCUUGAAUGUUAAUGGUUCGUGCAAAUAGGGGAACUUCAAGGGAAUUGCACUUUUGUGUAUUUGCACGUAUUAUUGCAACUGCAACAGGGACUUGCACAGGAGGAGGGGUGGGAGGCAGGAAUUCCCUCUGUUAGGUAGAGGUCUUGUGUUGUUUUAUUCUGCGAGAGAUGCACCAGGUCCCCACCUUGGAUGUUAAUGGCUUGAUCACAUGGAGUAAGCACAGCUUGGUCAGUCUUGCCUGGGCCUUUUCAGCCAAAGUCCCCCUGAGAAUGAUCUUGAAUUGGGAAUGGGAUCCAUGCAUACCCCUAUAAGGCAUUUAUUGAUAACAUCUUGCAGAUUAGUUACCAGCUGCUCUAGCACCAUUGACGCAUAUAAACUGGUGUACACGAGACUCGGAGACCCAGAGAAGCCUCCAGCUCUUGUGGAUGCAGUGAAAGCCCAAUGACCUGCAUGGCUGCUGGCACCUCAUGGCUUCCAUCUUUCCCGACUCUGCAUGUGUCUCCCUUCCCCUUCACCCAGUGGGCAGCUAGAAGCAAAUCUAAGAACUAAAUGGGAAAACAUGGCCAAAGGAAUGAGUGAAAUCAUGGGCUUGGGCCAGUCUUCGCGUCUGUAAGCACAGGGCACGGCUAGUUUGCUUGCAGCCCAUGCUCUUGUUUUGAAAGUGGACGUUGCCUGUCCUCCUGGUACAGCGUUUCCUGCUGUGUGGCCUCUGCCAAGCUCAUUCCCUCUCGCUGAUUUGGACUCCAGCUCUCACAGCUGUGUUGGGAGCUGUAUUUCUGGAGGGCACCAGAUUGGCAAAGGCUGCUUUCAUGCCAGGCUGGCCAUGCACCAGUACACUCUGUGUGCUCGUGUGGCCACAACCACUUGGAUACUAGGAAGGUCUCCCUUUUCAAAUCUUUCUUGCUUCAGUCUCCAUAUGCCACAUGGAACAUACCUUCUACAGUCAGAUUGGUGGCUGGGAUUAUGCCUUUUCCACCAAGGUUAUGCAAGGAUUAGCUUACUUCCGUGGUAGAGCAUCUGCUUUGCCUGCAAAAGUUCCCAGAUUCAAUCCCUAGCAUCUCCUGGUAGGGCUGGAGGAGUUCUCUAUCUGAAACCCAGGAGAGCUUCUGCCUGGUCACAUUAGCCAGAUCAAUGGAAUUCCUGCCUCUGCAUAAGGCAGCUUCCUAUGAUCCUGCUUUAGCUGCCUCUUCCCUAGGCUUUGCCCACUGAACCAGACAGACCUUCCUUCCUUCUGUUCUUGCUGCUGUCUUGACUGCCUUUUAUAGAGUCUCCCUGUGUAUUAGCUGCUCCUGUUUGCUUGGUUGGUCCUAAGGCAGAGCUUCCAGGGCCGCGGGCUGAAUGUUCUCCUCCCAAAGCUUCCCUGCUUGCCCUCAGUCUGCAGUCUCUCUCACUCAUCACUGCCUCUAAAAU